rnacentral:rRNA from 1 species
GAUGAACGCUGGCGGCGUGCCUAAUACAUGCAAGUCGAGCGAACAGACGAGGAGCUUGCUCCUCUGACGUUAGCGGCGGACGGGUGAGUAACACGUGGAUAACCUACCUAUAAGACUGGGAUAACUUCGGGAAACCGGAGCUAAUACCGGAUAAUAUAUUGAACCGCAUGGUUCAAUAGUGAAAGACGGUUUUGCUGUCACUUAUAGAUGGAUCCGCGCCGCAUUAGCUAGUUGGUAAGGUAACGGCUUACCAAGGCGACGAUGCGUAGCCGACCUGAGAGGGUGAUCGGCCACACUGGAACUGAGGCAAGGUCCAGACUCAUAAGGGAGGGAGCAGGAGGGAAUCUUCCGCAAUGGGCGAAAGCCUGACGAAGCAACGGCGCGUGAGUGAUGAAGGUCUUCGGAUCGUAAAACUCUGUUAUUAGGGAAGAACAAAUGUGUAAGUAACUAUGCACGUCUUGACGGUACCUAAUCAGAAAGCCACGGCUAACUACGUG